NNCCAGCUGACGAGUCCCAAAUAGGACGAAAUGCGCAUCCUGGAU
rfam:Trichobilharzia regenti genome assembly, scaffold: TRE_scaffold0023310